rnacentral:tRNA from 1 species
GCCUGUUUAGUUCAGUGGUAGAAUUCUCGCUUCGGGUGUGAGAGGUCCCAGGUUCGAACCCUGGUACAGGCC